GCUUAGCUGUCUCCUCUUCCAAGUCAAUGAAAUUGAUCUGUCCGUGCAGAAGCGGACAUAAACACAUAAGACGAGAAGACCCUAUGGAGCUUUAGACACCAGGCAGAUCACGUCAAAAACCUUGAAUUAACAAGUAAAAACGCAGUGACCCCUAGCCCGUAUGUCUUUGGUUGGGGCGACCGCGGGGGAAAAUUAAGCCCCCAUGUGGACUGGGGGCACUGCCCCCACAGCCAAGAGCCACAGCUCUAAGCACCAGAAUAUCUGACCAAAAAUGAUCCGGCAAACGCCGAUCAACGGACCGAGUUACCCUAGGGAUAA
rnacentral:rRNA from 1 species